ACAGCAUUUGAUCUCUGAUUAUAGAGGUAAAGAAGAAAGAAAAUGAAACAUACUCAAGAUUUAAGAAAGAGGGAACGAGCAGUACCAUUCACUGAUUUGGCAAGUCAAGAAAAGCCACUGAGUGGUAUUCAGUUAAGAGAACAGUUAUUUCAUAUAAGCCACAUCAGAGACGACUGAAGAUGAAAAAACUACCAUCCCCGUAUAUAACUAGUUUGUGCUGUGCACCAACAAGAACCUGCUUUAAAUUUCCAUGGCAAUUUACAACCCCCAUACUGUACCAGGCAAGGUACCAGCAUCAAGAUGAUUUAUGGUAAU
rnacentral:lncRNA from 1 species